UACGUAGGGGGCAAGCGUUGUCCGGAUUUAUUGGGCGUAAAGAGCGUGUAGGCGGCCAGAUAGGUCUGUUGUGAAAACUCGAGGCUCAACCUCGAGACGCCGAUGGAAACCAUUUGGCUAGAGUCCGGAAGAGGAGAGUGGAAUUCCUGGUGUAGCGGUGAAAUGCGCAGAUAUCAGGAGGAACACCGAUGGCGAAGGCAGGUCUCUGGGCCACUACUGACGCUGAGAAGCGAAAGCAUGGGGAGCGAACAGG
rnacentral:rRNA from 1 species